rnacentral:rRNA from 1 species
AGAGCACUAGGGGGAUGCCUAGGUACCAAUAAAAGGACGUAUUAAAACACGAAAAGUUAUAAAGAGCAAAAAUUUGUGAUGACUUAUAGAUUUCCUAGGGGAAAACCCACUCAUAAUGAGUAUAAAAAAUUAGUGAAUUGAAACAUCUUAGUAACUAAAUUUAAAAAAUCAACCGAGAGUCUGUUAGUAGUGGCGAGCGAAAACGGAUUAGGCCUAAAAAUAUUUAAUAUAUAUGUUGAAAAAACAGAAAAAGUUUUACAAAAUAGGGUGAAAGUCCUGUAAACAUAUAGAUACUAUUUUUUUGUAUAGGGCGAAACAUGUGAAAUUUUGCUUGAAUAUUGGGGAAUCAUCCUCAAAGCCUAAAUAGUUAUUGGUGACCGAUAGUGAACAAGUACCGUGAGGGAAAGGUGAAAAGAACCGGAUAGGGUUGAAAAGAACCUGAAACUUAGUGCUUACAAUCAGUUGGAGCUUUUUUACAAAGUGACAGCGUACCUUUUGCAUAAUGGGUCAGUAAGUUUAUUCUUAUAGCAAGCUUAAUUUAUCAAAAGUAGGCGUAGUAAAAGCAAGUCUUAAUAAGGCUUUUAGUUAUAAGGGUAAUACCCGAAACCAGGUGAUCUAAUCAUGAACAGGUUGAAGAUGUAGUAAAAUACAUUGGAGGACCGAACCCACGCAUGUGGAAAAAUGCGGGGAUGAUUUGUGAUUAGGGGUGAAAGGCCAAUCAAACUUGGAGAUAGCUGGUUUUCCGCGAAAUCUAUUUAAGUAGAGCGUUCAAUGUUUUUCUUUUGGGGUAGAGCACUCAAUGGACUAGGGGGACCAAAAAUCCUACCGAAUCCAAGGAAACUCCGAAUACAAAAGUAUUUGAUACAUUGAGCAGACAGACUUUGGGUGCUAAGAUCCAUAGUCGAAGGGGAAACAGCCCUGAAUGGACAUUAAGGUCCCUAACUUUUAUCUAAGUGAAUAAGGAAGUGAAAAAAUUAAAACAACCUGUAGGUAGGCUUGGAAGCAGCUUUCCUUUUAAGAAAGCGUAAUAGCUCACUGGUCUAGUUUUUUUGCGCCGAAAAUAUAUAGGGACUUAAGAUAAAGACCGAAAUGACAUUUUUUCCUUAAUAGGAAAAAGGUAGCGGAACGUUCUGUAGGUUGAUGAAGAAGUAUUGUGAGAUACUUUGGAGACAUCAGAAUUGAGAAUACUGACAUGAGUAACGAUAAAGGAUAUGAAAAAUAUCCUCGCUGUAAGCCGAAGGGUUUCUACGGUAGGUUAAUCCGCGUAGAGUUAGACGGUCCCUAAAAAGAAACCGAAAGGUGUAUUUGAUGGGAAACUCUUUUAUAAAUGACGAGGUAAGGUAUUUUAUUCUACUUUUUGGAUAAGUAGAUUAAUAAAUUAAAUCUCCAGGAAAAAGUUUAUAAAUAAUAAACCGUACCUUAAACCGACACAGGUCGGCAAGGUCGAAUAGACUAAAGCGCUUGAGAGAACCAGAUUGAAGGAACUCGGCAAAAUGACUCCGUAACUUCGGGAGAUGGAGUGCCUUUAUACUAUAAAUAUAAAGGCGGCACAGAAUCGGGGAUAGCGACUGUUUAUUAAAAACACAGGACUCUGCAAAAUCGUAAGAUGAAGUAUUGGGUCUGACACCUGCCCGGUGCUGGAAGGUUAACAGGAGAAGUUAUUGCUUUCAAUGGAAGCCCCAGCAAACGGCGGCCCUAACUCUGAGGGUCCAAAGGUAGCGAAAUUCCUUGUCACCUAAUUAGUGACCUGCAUGAAUGGUGUAACGACUGUCCCACUGUCUCCAAUCUGGACUCAGUGAAAUUGAAUUAGCCGUGAAGAUGCGGUUUACCUACAGCUAGACGGAAAGACCCCGUGCACCUUUACUACAUCUUUACAGUGUAAGAAGUUAUAAUAUGUAUAGGAUAGGUGGGAGCCUUUGACACCUUAACGCAAGUUAAUUGUGUAGGCAAUCUUGAAAUACCACCCUUGUUAUAAUAUCUUACUUACCAAGGUAAGCUAAAGUUUAUCUGGGACAUUGUAUGGUUGGUAGUUUGACUGGGGCGGUCACCUCCUAAAGAGUAACGGAGGUGUGCAACGGUGAGCUCAAAUUGGUUUAAUAUCAAUUGUAGAGUACAAUGGCAUAAGCUCGCCUGACUGUAAGAUAGACAUAUCGAGCAGGGACGAAAGUCGGCCAUAGUGAUCCGGUGGUUCUAUAUGAAAAGGCCAUCGCUCAACGGAUAAAAGGUACGCCGGGGAUAACAGGCUGAUGACUCUUAAGAGCUCCUAUCGACGGAGUCGUUUGGCACCUCGAUGUCGGCUCAUCACAUCCUGGAGCUGAAGAAGGUUCCAAGGGUUCGGCUGUUCGCCGAUGAAAGUGGUACGUGAGCUGGGUUUAGAACGUCGUGAGACAGUUUGGUCCCUAUCUACUGUAGGCGUAAAAAAUUGAGAGGAUUCGACCCUAGUACGAGAGGACCAGGUAGAACAAACCUAUGGUGUACCAGUUGUUAUUCCAAUAGCAUUGCUGGGUAGCUACGUUUGUAAUGGAUAAUCACUGAAAGCAUCUAAGUGAGAAACCAAUCUCAAGAUAAAUUUUUAACUAUAGGUACAAGACUAGUACUUCUCUAGAAUUUU